rnacentral:tRNA from 1 species
UAGGUGGAAGCCUGAUGGUUUGGGCGUGUAGCUGUUAACUACAAUGUUAUGGGAUCGAGGCCCAUCUACCUAG